UCCGCUCCGUGCCUCAGUUUCCCCACUCCUCCUUCCACGCUCCUCGAGGCGCGCUGCGGCCCGGUUAAAGGAGGGGAUAAAACCAGGCUGGGGGGGGUUGGAAAUCAUCCCCGGGGGGGUCUUGGGGAGAGGCCCCAGACCUCUAAGGGCUCGCCCACCCAGCUCCAAGCUGGUGGCAAAAUUGGGGAGAAUCACCCGGGGUUGGGACCGCUCAAAUCUCCAGCGCUGUUUCCGUCGGGUAGCAGCUGGUGCUGGGAUUUCGAGACGGUUUUUGGAUGCUUUGAGCAGAGAUUUGGGGAGAGAUUUGGGGCUGGGGGGGGGGGACACACAUCUCUGCCCAUGGCUGUCCUGCAGGGAAGGGAUUUUCCUCGCUCCUGGAUGGAAGGAAAUGAAUUCCCAGCUGCAGCCCAAGAAUACCUGGAAAUGGUUGGGUUUGAAAGGGGGAAAAAAUAAAAACAGCCUUCAAUUUAUGGGAUUGUUUAGGAAGGGAAAUAGAGAAAUAUCCACACACGCACACACCCCCCGAUGCGUGAGGGAUCGGAAAAUGCAGUAAAUCACCCGGAGCCUUCCCAAACUCGGUGCAAUUGUGUGGCCGUGACACGGGACUCGAGGGGGCUUCCUCUCCGGGGCCUGGGCUGGGAGGGGAGGAAGAAAUAGAGGGGGGGGGUCCUGGUGCCCCCAGUGCCCUGCCGAGCUGUGCUUCGGAGCAGGGUUUUCCAGGCACCCCAUGCCCCUGCGCUCUCCUGGGGUGCCGGGCACGUCCCCGGUGCCGGUGCCGCUCGCCGUCACCCAUCCGUGUGGCACCGGGUGCUCCAUCCCAACCACCUUCACCCCACGUCUGUGGUCCAAGCAGCAGGGCAGCAGCCCUGACCCCAUUGCCUGCCACCCAUGGGUGCCUCUAAAAUUGGGGUGCUCCCACUUUGCCCCUGCCGAGCUUUGCAAUUUGCCCUCACACCAGGCAGCCGGGAGCGCCGUGCUCUGCUCCAGCGCUCUCGGAGCUCAAAUGGGGCUCCGAAUCCGACCCGGAGCACGGGGAAAGGCGUGAAUCCCCAGAGAUUAGAGGGUUGGGUUGGGUUGUUGCUUUUUUUUUUUUUUUUUCCACAAAGCCAUUCAGGGCCUGGAAAGGCUGCCUCUGUCCCCUCGAACCAGUCCGGCUCGCCCGCACUGCUAUGCAAAUCGGUCAGAGCUUUUGCAGGCGACAUUGGGACCUGGAUGUGCAGGAGCUGGCGGGUGCUCGCCGGGUCUGACCAAGGGCUCCUCGCUCCGGGCCGGCUCAGAGGGGAGAGGCUGCGGUCCAGCCAAGAAAUGGUUUUCUGGCCCUCCCCGUGUACAAAGCUGCAGGACGCCGUGCGCCCCCCUCCCAGGGUCCGAGCCGCCCCCCGGCCUCCAGCGCCGCACGCAGCCGCGUGUUGGUGCCACCACCCCCGGAUCGCUCCCCGGCCGGGAAACCACCUCGAGACAUCCCCGAAGACCCCAAAGAUGUGCCGGUGGCUGGAGCAAAGGGGAAAAAGGACCAAAAACCCACCGGGACCGGCCGCCCUGGUGCGCCCCGUGCCCCCCGGCCCCGCGGAUAAUAGCGGGGCUGCGGGGGCGAUUUCACGGAGAUUAACCCCGCGCCUCGCGCCGGGGCUGCCGCUGCCCUCGACACCGCUCCCCGAGUGUAUCAAAGGCGGAUUACAGCCAGAUCAGCCCCGUGGCCGGAUUUAUUAGCGGCAAUUUAUCACCUGGAGGCAGCCGGGGAGGGUGGAAGGCCAAGGGCAGGGGCGGAGGAGCCGCCCGGCCUCCCUGCGGGGACCCGCGGCGUCGGCGCGGAGACCCCGGUUGAAUUUUUGGCACGGGGUCGGGGUUUCCUCCCAGUUCCCCGAGGAUUUUGGUGCAGGUUGGGAAAAGGCAGCUCGAGGCGGGGAAGAGGGGAAGCCUUCAGCCUCGGGCUGCCCCUCCUUGCCCUCCCUGGGGCUGGGGAAGGGAGACGGGCGCCCGGCACCGCUUUGGAGGGCCAUAGGGUGCCGGAGUCCCUCGGGGCCGGGGACGUCGCACGGGGCACACCCAUGGGGCACGAGGCUCACACCGAUGCCACCAGACCCCAGCGGCCACCCCGGGCACCCCCAGCCCCCCGUGGCGCGGGGACACCCGGCUCCGGGCGCGCGGCUGAGUCGGGGGAAGGAGCCUGGAAGAGGUUAAAGUGGGGCGAGCGGGGAGAGAAGCCUCGGAACGGGAACGGGGCGUUUUAAUGACAUUCCAUUAAAGCUCCCUUUGGGGCCAGCGCGGCCGCCAUGUGCUCCACAUUCUCAUGGUAAUUAUGAGACAUCUGUAUAGAGGCUCUUUUCUCAUCAAAGAUGGCUCUCUUCAAAGACACUCCUGGGAAACCCUUCACCUCUGACCCGGGGGGUCAGCGCUGAAACAGUGGCUCUAUAGUGCGCGUUACUGUAAAGCCGAGUAUCCUUUUUCCUCCGUUAACCUGACCAGGUCCCGGCUUUUCAUGCGGGCCCGCGUUGAGCCGAGGGGGUGGGGGGCACCGGUUUGGGGAUGGGUCCCCCCCCACACACACCCCUCCGGCGGUCACCGUUUCGUUUCGGCAGCCCCGGCCACGGGUGCCGCCGCCGCCCGCGCUGACCCCGGCCGUGGCGAUCAAAGCGGGAAGAAAAGGGUUUUAAUGAGCGGGGCCGGGGCGGCUUCUCCCUUCCCGAUGUCCUCCUCCCCGCUGCGCCACGGCAAAUCCCACCCCGGCUCCUGCGCCAAGUCCCUGGGGGCGAUUUUGGGGGGUCACGAUACGCAAACAGCCCUCUCCAAACGGUGUCCCCAUUGCCGGGGACGUGCCCCACGGUGCCACCGGGCUCGACGCCGGUUCUGCAGCGUGGCGAGGCCACCCCGUGUCCCCGCACCCCACGGGGACGUUUCCACCCCAAACAGCAUCACCGCCCUCGGUGUCCCCCGGGUGCCACCUCCCCGGGCAGGGGACAGCGGGGCGGAGGGGACGGGUGCUUGGUGUCCCCCUCUUGGGGUGGCUCCGUCCCUCCGGCACGGCAGCGGCGCACGAUCCCCGCGGCCCUUUCCAAUAAGUGGCAAAUGAUUCUUCGUCCUGUCGCUCCCCGGCGGCAAUAAACCUUCCUCACAAUGAA